GUCACUCGCCCUAGCCGAGUUUUGGAGGGGGAUCCGAUUUUCUCAACCUCAAUUAAUUCUUCCGUCGCUUCUGGGGAAGAGGAGUCAGGCGCUUAGGGAUUUUUUUCUGGCUCCUCUCUUGCUUGCCUCUUUUCCGUCGGCUGUGCGGUAUGUGAGGGCUCCGAAUGUAGCCGAGCACAUUUAGCAUUCUUGUGGUCGGUGCUGCUGAAUAUGGGGAAUUUAAGGUGUGACAGAGAGCAGUGUUUUGUGCAGCAGAGAUUCACCUUGCCAAGGUGGACCCUGACAGCCUACAGCAAAUAACAAAUAAUGGCUUUCACUCGAGGUAACCAAGUGUAGUCCACAGGCCACAGCACAGUUGGACUGUAUUCUUCAUGCUCUGUCACUCUGCUUGACGGUUAGUUGUGUUGACUUGUGUUGCUCAGGAUUGGAGUUUGGCACAACUACAGCUGGUUCAUUCAAGUGGUCUCUGUCUCUCUUGCUCUCUCUCACACACACAGGUCCACACACUGGCUUUAAUGAAAAUUCUGGCUCUUUAUCAAGAAUGAAGUGGUGAACCUGCAACAUCAUCCACUCUAGUGAUGAAUGGGCUUUUAGAAGACACUCUCCCUUCUGUCUCGGGAAAUCAACAGGGCGUACUUGACAAGCAGAGGGAAAGAACUUAUUUCAGUCAUGUAAGUGCGCUCCAUUGCCGAAUCUCCACGACAUAAUCGAAUUUGUGGCAGUUAAUAAGUGCUAUUCAUCAGAUGGGGAUUGGGGGUGGACUCAGUAUUUACCUAGCUGGAAUAACACUUCAGCCCGGGCCGAGCAGCCUGCCUCCGAGUGUUGUUUUAGCAAGGUUUUUGCUGCUCGGGUUAUGUGAGAGCCACUGUCUCUUCUCCAAACGUGGCCGGAGAGCUUUUCUUCGGGCCCCUGAGCCUGGGCCUUGUGUUUUGCUUGGCAGACGGGGGCAUAGUCAGCUGGCCUGCACAUUCUGGAAGCAGAGCUGAUGCUGUUAAAGCACCUUCUUUUCCUUCGAAGGGACGGUGUGAGGAAGAAAGAGGCGAGGGGCUGUUAACUUGGCCUCUUCAUUGUAGCACACAAACACCUUCAGCUGUGGCCAGCUGCCACACGUUCGCAAUUUUCUUCUGUGCUGCAUUCGCUUCACCCCCCAAAAAAAGGGAGAGAAUAAAGGAGCAAGAUGAAUAGACGCUCAGCAUACUCCAAAGGACACAGGAGUGACCUUUGCCUUUCAUUCUAGGUCAGCUUUCUCCAUUAAGGCAUUUUAGGUCUUUUGAUCUUCAUCUUCUGUAUCAUCCAUUUGCUGCCCUGGGUAGUCAUACAAAUGCUGCUUAUAUGUCAAGCCCAGUGAGUAAAAGAAAGAGUUCCCUUUAUUUAUCUAUAAUCCAUGCCGUUUCUUGUUACAAGUGAUAUAUGCAGUGACAUAGGACCCCCGAGCUACAAGGAGCCCUGUAUAUUGUCACGAUUGGGACAAACCCAUGUAUCUUUGUUUUUGUAUUUUUUUUUUUUACUUAAUUUAGAAACACCCUUUACCCUUUGUGCGAGAUUUUCAUAAUGAACGGAACAAUAGAAAUGGUCCAAAUUUAAAAUAUCUUUUUGCAUUAAAUUCCAUUAUAAGAUUUUGUUCUGACAACGACGAUAUAUUCAUAUUAUUGUAUAUUAACAUUUAUUUUAUUAUUUUUUAUUGUCUGUGUCAAUCAUUGUGAUACUGGCAUUGUUUAAUUGUGAUUGAUGUGGUUAAUGUAGAACUAUGCAUGUUGUGGAAAAUGCUUUUCUUUUUGAUUCAUUAAUUGAUUACAUUGUAAAUAUCCAUACAUUGUAGGCUAGUGUUUUAAAGAAAUGUUUGGAAUUAAAUGGGCCUACUCAGUGCUAUAUUUGACCAUUUCUUCUCUACUCGCAUAUACCAGUUUGAUAUAUACCAGUUUCAUAUUAGCUCUGCGUCUGCUAACGAUUACUUGAACAAAGGAACAGUACGUUUUGUAGUCUGUAGUUUGAAUGAUGGAGACUGCUAGAUUACAGCUCUAGUGGUAGAUUACUACACUGAUUGGCUUGACCGUGUUCAAAGUGUUUUUCAUAGCUAAGACUAUGCAUCAAGAACUACGGCCACAUCUGUAGUCCUGUACAAAAUGUUCAAACCAGAUGACUAGAUACAUAUUUCUUAUGCAUAGAUUAAUGAACUGAAUAUGAUUAGAACAGAUAGUAGGCUUGUUGCCAGUAACAUAUACACUCACUGGCCACUUUAUUAGUACUCUUACCUUGUAUCUACACACAUUUUCUAUUUUAUCAGGCCCACUUACUGGACAGGUCCACAUACUAUAGUCCUAAAAGUGCAGAUUGUAGUCUAGCUGUUUCUUUGUAUAAUUUAUUGUUCUUGUUUUUAACACCAUUCAUCAAGGGUCAGGAACCCCCCCAAAGACAACCAUGGAGCAGUUAUUAUUUGGGUGGUGGAUCAUUCUCAGUGCUGCAGUUAGAGUGGUAUGAGUGAUAUGUUGGUAUUUGUUGCAGUGGUGUAAGUGUUUCAGACACAGCGUGUUGCUGGAGUUUUUUGUGUGUAUCUUUUGCUGCACAGUUUUGAUGUUAGUCAUCAUCUAGUCCUUCAUUAGUGGUCAGUUUCUAGCCACUGUACAGUCUAGAAUGGAUAUUUUGUUUGUUGAACUUAUUUUCAGUCCAGCAGGGACACUGAGUUGUUUAAAAACUCUAUUAGCACAGCUGUGUGAGCCGAAUUGUGCAGCUAUGUGGUAAGAAGACCUGAUAAAAUGGUUAAUUAGUGUAGAUACAAUGAGUGGACCAAAUAAAGUAGCCAUGUCUCCCCGGCUGUUUGUGUGGGUUUCCUCAGGGUACUCCGGUUUCCUCCCACAGCCAAAUACAUGCAGUCAGACCAAUUGGACAUGCUAAAUUGCCCCUAAGUGUGAAUGUGUGUGUGGAUGUUUUUGUCUGUCUGUCUGUCUGCGAUGGAUUGGUGACCUGUCCUAUCCUGCCUUCUGCCCAAUGACCGCUGGGAUAGGCUCCAGAACUCACAACCCAGAAGGAUAAGUGGUUUAGAAAGUGUGCGUGUGUGUGUACAACAAUGUCUGGCAUCAAGGUGCCAUAUUUGUAGCCAUUUCAUUUAAUAACUUUAUGUGAGGUAGCUUGUAGAGAUAUUAAAUGCUUUAAAUCUCUUGUUCCUAUCACCACUUUUAUGA